UUUUUUGUUUUUUUGCAGAGAGAAAACAGUGAGAAAUAGUUAGGGUUUGUGUGGGUAAGCCUUGAAAGUGGGUCUGUUGAGGGAGGUAGUUGUCACCGCCCCUUUAGGAAGGAAGAGAACCUCGUCGCCGGUCCUCGCCUGGAUUCUCGCUAGUGCAUGAUCCCAUGCGCUGACAGAAGCUUUCCGCCUCGUGUGCAUGAGCCGAGGAGUGAGCUAGUUCCUGGUCAAUUUUUCCGGCAGCAUUUUUUUUUUUCGACGACAUCCCUAGUGUACCGCGCCUCUGCUCAGCCUAUUCCUAUCUCUUGGUUUGCAAUUUUGUUUUUGGGUAUUUGUCUUUUGCCUAUUGUUUCUUUUAAUCAGUUCUCUGAAUCAUGUCUGAUGCAAAAAAUUGAGUAGUUGAAGGGAAAAUCACUACUAAAACUAAAAAUCUCUCAUUAAUUAUUAGCCCCGUAAAGCUUGAUGGGACAAAUUACCUUGCAUGGUUUAGAUCGUGUCUCCUUUUUAUUCAAGCUAGAGGGUUGCUGGGUUAUCUUACUGGAGAUAAGCAAAAACCAGAAAAGUCUGCUUCUACCUACAGUCAAUGGGAGUAAGAAAAUUCUCUUAUCAUGUCAUGGCUUAUCAAUUCCAUGCAACCACGUAUAGCUCAUGGGUAUUUACUGUUGAAUAGUGUAGCUGCCAUUUGGAGUGCAGUUUCUCAGACCUAUUCUCAAGUUUGGAACGAUGCAUAAGUGUAUGAACUUCGAAAUAAGGUUCAUGGUAUAAAACAGGGUGAGCUAACUAUUGUUCAAUAUUAUGCAGAAUUGAGUGGUCUAUGGCAGAAAUUGGAAGUUUACUAGGACUUUUAGGCCUCAUGUCCUGUAGAUGCUGUUAAAUUUUAGAAGUUGGUUGAGAAAGAGCGGAUCUAUGAUUUUCUUGCUGGGUUGAAUAUAGAAUAUGAUCAAAUUAGGGUCCAAGUGCUUGGGAAGGAUCCUUUACCUACCUUAUGACAGACAUACUCUUAUGUUCAGUAGGAAGAGAGCAGGAGGAGUGCCAUGAUUCAUUCUAUGUCUGUUGAUAAGGCAGGGCAAGUUGUUAAUUCCUCACGUGAACAGUCACAUGGUUCAUCAGAUAAGGAUCAACUACAUUGUGACUAUUGUGGAAAAAACCGGCUACUAAGGAACAUUGUUGGAAAUUGCAUGGACGCCCCACUAAAGGGCAUGGAGGAAAAAAGAUGGGCUUUACUAGAUCACAAGCUAAUAUAUCUGGGCUGUGAAUCUGUCUGAAGAUACUACCACCACUGAGAUGUUUUCCAAUAAAGAGGUACAGACUCUAAGGCGUUUGCUAUCACAACUUGAAUCGCAAUCCACCACAGUUGCCUCUUCUAACUUCGUCAACUCAGGAAAAGAAAAAGUUCACACUGUGGAUGGAUCCUUAUCUAGUGUUUCUGGAAUAGGAAUUGACUGCAGAGAGAACGAUUGGCAGUGGUAGAUUGCAAGAUGGGCUAUAUCUCUUGAAUAAUUAUAUUGGCCAGGCCAUGUUGGGGCAAUCUAUGGGUGCUGAGGAACAAAUUAUCAUGUGGCAUAAGAGAUUAUGACAUCCUUCAUUUACUGUGUUAGAAAAACUUUAUCAUUUUCUGUUUAAACAAUGCAAAACUGAAUUGUUAGUAUAUGAUACUUGUGAGUUUGCUAAACACACUAGACAAUCUUAUCCUACAAUAAAUAAUAAGGUUUCAGUUCCUUUUAUGACUAUCUAUUCUGAUGUAUGAGGGCCUACUCAAACUGUGUCUUUAUCGAGCUACAGAUGGUUUGUGACCUUUAUUGAUUGUUGCAGUAGGUUAACUUGGGUAUAUUUGAUGAAAGGGAAAAAUGAAGUUUUCUCUUGUUUCCAGCAGUUCCAUAAAAUGAUUAGUACACAGUUUGAUGCUCAUGUUAAAAUAUUGAGAACUGAUAAUGGUACAGAAUAUAUGAAUGGAGUCUUUCAGGAGUAUUUGAAGGCACAUGGGGUUUUACAUCAGACUUGUUGUGUUAAUACGAGUUCCCAAAAUGGAGUAUCUAAGAGAAAAAAUAGACACUUACUUGAGGUUGCUAGGUUUCUUAUAUUUACCAUGAAUGUUCCUAAACCUUACUGGGGGGAUGCUAUUCUUUCUAAUGCAUAUCUUAUUAACAGGAUGCCUCUUCGGACAUUGGAGUUUAGAGUCCUUUAGAGGUUUUGCAGGGUAAAAAUUCAUAUAUCAUUCCUCCAAAAGUAUUUGGUUGUGUUUGCUUUGUUCAUAAAUUUAAUAGUGGGAAAUUAGAACCCCUAGCCCUGAAAUGUGUUUUUGUUGGUUAUUCUAGUACUCAGAAGGGAUAUAGGUGUUAUCAUUCUCCUUUACAAAAAUAUUUUGUGAGUAUGGACGUUACCUUCAGAGAAUCUGAAUCUUAUUUCCAUCCACCUCUUUAGGCCCAUAGGAAGGAAGAGGUGUAUUUUCCUUCAUCCUCAUCCUCUCCCAACCCUCAUUUCAGGGGGAGAAUCUGGGUUUAGAGCCUAUACCUAACAAUGAAACUCAGGGAGAGUUACCUAAAUCUCGAGAAAGACUAAAAA